AACGAACGCUGGCGGCGUGCCUCAUACAUGCAAGUCGAGCGAGAAUCUCAAGCCCCGGCUUGCCGGGAUUUGAGAGGAAAGCGGCGAACGGGUGAGUAACACGUGGGCAACCUGCCCAGAAGUUCGGGAUAAGCCCUCGAAAGGGGGUCUAAUACCGGAUAACAUCCCGGGGGGGCCUCUUCCUGGGAUCAAAGGCGGCGUAAGCCAUCACUUCUGGAGGGGCCCGCGGCCUAUUAGCUUGUUGGUGAGGUAACGGCUCACCAGGGCGACGAUGGGUAGCCGGCCUGAGAGGGUGUCCGGCCACACUGGGACUGAGAUACGGCCCAGACUCCUACGGGAGGCAGCAGUAGGGAAUAUUGCGCAAUGGCCUAACGGCUGACGCAGCGACGCCGCGUGGGCGAUGAAGCUUCUUGGAGUGUAAAGCCCUGUCAGGAGGGAAGAACGUUCCGCCUAUGGUGGAAUUGACGGUACCUCCAGAGGAAGCCCCGGCUAACUCCGUGCCAGCAGCCGCGGUAAUACGGAGGGGGCGAGCGUUGUUCGGAAUCACUGGGCGUAAAGGGUGCGCAGGCGGGUCGGCCAGUCGAAUGUGAAACCUCCGGGCUCAACCCGGAGCCUGCAUCCGAAACUGCCGAUCUUGAGUACGGGGGAGGGAAGUGGAAUCUCAGGUGUAGCGGUGAAAUGCAUAGAUAUCUGAGAGAACACCGGUGGCGAAGGCGGCUUCCUGACCCGAUACUGACGCUCAGGCACGAAGGCUAGGGGAGCAAACAGGAUUAGAUACCCUGGUAGUCCUAGCGGUAAACGAUGGGCACUAGGUGUUGGAGGUAUCGACCCCUUCAGUGCCGUAGCUAACGUAUUAAGUGCCCCGCCUGGGGAGUACGAUCGCAAGGUUGAAACUCAAAGGAAUUGACGGGGGCCCGCACAAGCAGUGGAGCAUGUGGUUUAAUUCGACGCUACGCGAAGAACCUUACCUGGGCUUGACAUCUGCCGGAAAUCCCGAGAAACCGGGACCCUCCUUCGGGAGUCGGUAGACAGGUGCUGCAUGGCUGUCGUCAGCUCGUGCCGUGAGGUGUUGGGUUAAGUCCCGCAACGAGCGCAACCCCUGCCCUUAGUUACCAUCCCUCCAGAUUUUCGAAUCCGGAGGGGGCACUCUAAGGGGACUGCCGGUAAUAAGCCGGAGGAAGGUGGGGAUGACGUCAAGUCCUCAUGGCCCUUACGUCCAGGGCUACACACGUGCUACAAUGGUCGGUACAGAGGGUCGCAAUACCGCGAGGUGGAGCCAAUCCCUAAAACCGGCCUCAGUUCAGAUUGGAGUCUGCAACUCGACUCCAUGAAGGCGGAAUUGCUAGUAAUCGCGAAUCAGCAGGUCGCGGUGAAUACGUUCCCGGGCCUUGUACACACCGCCCGUCAAGCCAUAGAAGUCGGGGGUACCCGAAGUCGUUGGUCUAACCCGCAAGGGAGGACGACGCCGAAGGUAAAACCGAUGACUGGGGCU
rnacentral:rRNA from 1 species